GUGGCGGCGCGGCGGCAGUGUUGGCAUGCCAGCAGCAGGUGGAGGUGGUGCCGCCGUGCUCGAGUGUCCGUACGCAGUGAGGACUGAUAUUGUGCUCGGGGAACUUCUACCUGCUAGGAUGCCCAACAUAAAGAUCUUCUCGGGCUCCUCACACCCAGACCUGGCCCAGAGAGUGGUGGACCGCCUUGGUAUUGAUUUGGGCAAGGUGGUGACCAAGAAGUUUUCAAAUUUGGAAACAUGUGUGGAGAUUGGAGAGAGUGUGCGAGGGGAAGAUGUUUAUAUCGUACAAAGUGGAUGUGGAGAGAUCAAUGACAACCUGAUGGAGAUGUUGAUUAUGAUCAACGCCUGCAAGAUUGCUUCUGCUGCACGGGUUACUGCUGUCAUUCCUUGCUUUCCAUAUGCCAGACAGGACAAAAAGGACAAGUCCCGUGCUCCAAUCUCAGCCAAGUUGGUUGCCAACAUGUUGUCUGUUGCUGGGGCUGAUCAUAUCAUCACCAUGGAUUUACAUGCCUCCCAGAUCCAGGGCUUCUUUGACAUUCCUGUUGAUAACCUCUAUGCAGAACCUGCUGUUCUGAAGUGGAUCCGUGAAAAUAUUCCAGAGUGGAGAAAUGCCAUCAUUGUGUCACCUGAUGCUGGUGGAGCUAAACGAGUGACAUCCAUAGCUGAUCGCCUUAAUAUAGAAUUUGCGCUGAUCCACAAAGAAAGGAAAAAAGCCAAUGAAGUAGCAUCAAUGGUUCUGGUUGGAGAUGUGAAAGACCGCAUUGCAAUCUUGGUUGACGACAUGGCUGACACUUGCGGCACCAUCUGCCAUGCUGCUGAAAAACUUAUGGAAGCUGGUGCCACAAAAACAUAUGCCAUCUUGACCCAUGGAAUUUUCUCUGGACCUGCUGUCUCUCGAAUCAACAACGCCUGCUUUGAGGCUGUGGUUGUAACCAAUACUAUACCUCAAGAACAGCAUAUGAAGGACUCUAGUAAAAUUCAGUUGAUUGACGUCUCCAACAUUUUGGCUGAGGCAAUUCGUCGAACCCACAAUGGUGAAUCGGUUUCUUUCCUAUUCAACUCGGUACCUCUCUAGAUCGUGAUGGCUGUGAAUGUUGGCCCAGUUCAUAUGAUGAGGCAAGUAGGUGCAUUGAUGUCUCGGCAACAUUUGCUGAAGCCCUGAGGAGGACUCACAAUGGGGAAAGCAUCUCCUACUUGUCAUGGAACGUGCCAUACCACUGACCACCUCAUGCCUUCUAAAGAAAGUUUUAUAUCAGCACCAACUUUGUGAAUAACUACAUAUUUACAGUUUGGUGAAAGGUCAUAUAUAUAUAUAUAUAUAUAUAUAUAUAUAUAUAUAUAUAUAUAUAUAUAUAUAUAUAUAUAUAUAUAUAUAUAUAUAUGCACACAAUAUUAAUGUUAAUAUCAUGUUUGUUUAUCCAGCUGCUUUUUGAAUGUGAUAUGCCAUGUGUUGUCCAUUAAGAUGCUUUACAUAUAAAGUUGUGUAUUGUUUGUGUGUGGGUUUGUAAAAUAAUAUAUAUAUAUAUAUAUAUAUAUAUAUAUAUAUAUAUAUAUAUAUAUAUAUAUAUAUAUAUAUAUAUAUAUAUAUAUAUAUAUAUUGAGUAUAUAUACAUAUGGAAUAAUCUGUUGGUUAGAUAUUCAAAUGUAUAGGAAUUUUGUAAUAUCAUGAGUAUUUAGUUUCAGGAAUCCUAUAUUUUACUGUGAAUGAAUGGCUGCAUUUAUAUAAGACAAUGCUGAUAUUAAUGCUGCCUUUGUGGUAAAGCUGAAUCUGUCAGAAGGCAAGUAUACCAUUCACGGCUUUGCAUAAAUACACUCUGAGGUGCUAAGUGUUGACAUGGCAAUGUUAUAUAGCCAUUCUAUCUCAGUAGUUGGUGAAUGUUUUAGAUAAUUUAAUAUUAUUCAGCACUGAAUAAAGACAUCACUAAUUCUGUUAUUUGUUAUUUGUUUAUAAAAAUUAUACAUGAGGCGGCUUAUAAUGUGAGACAAGCUAUGUUUUCUGACUCAUCACUGUUUUCUUGACAUGUUAUUUGUGACAAAAGUGAUGUCUUGUACAUUAUGUGAUAUUCAGUAACAAAAGACCUGCCUUUAUGGUAAAAAGACUAGCUUUUGUAUUUUGGAACCAUUAUACACACUGUGCUGCAUGUCCUCCAUUAUGAGCAUGUGAAUGCACUCCUAACCUACUGUAAGUAAAAUAAAUAUAAUUUUUCA